GGAGGGGAUCUUUUGUUACAAUGUGGCAGAGAAAGCCAGCAUAGGUAUUGAGUUUGUCUUCUCACUGCUUCCCAUGUCCUGAUUGGUUCUCACUGAAGAAGCCUGAAGGAUAGAGACUCCACAGAAACUCUGGAUGUGUGGGCAAUGGAAUUAGCAAGUCAAGGCUGCCUGUGCUGAAGUUCACCAAUAUGGUGUCGAGUCACUGAACUGACCCCCUGAGCUGUUCAGAUGUCUAUUUAAAGUUACAGACCGUGGAGCGGCGGCGGUGGCCGGGUUCCUUUGGGAAAUCUCAAAGAUAUUUUUGCUUGAAAAAGACAUCCUGAAAAAUGUGGCUUAUUUGUUUGUUUGUUUCUAAAUUAAGAGUUUGGUCUUGGGAAGGCAAAAAGUAAGAGCGCAGUCAGAGUAAUCUUGGUCAGUUGACUAAGCUCAGAUCAUGGGAGCCUGAGAACAACAGCCUGCAACUGGACCCACACCAAGGUCUCCUUUCAAUGGUUUCAUUUUUAAAAAGCUUCUACACAAUUAAUCACCACACUCACCAUGAGCAUACGCAUAAGGACCUUGAAAGAAGGUAGAAAAGAAUUGAAAGAAACACAAACAGUGGGAGACAAUGGAGAGGGAUGCUUCUGGGACCAAUCGUGUGGCAUUGAGAGAUUCAUUCCUGCAUGUAGUUAACUUGGGAUCCUUUGAUGGCCUGACGUCAGUAGAUUUUGCAUGUGCAUUGACAAAAUCCAGUGAUGAAAGAGGAAAAUAGCAACUCCCAGGGGGAAAAAGAAGGCACCGCUGGCAAGGAAGGAAUGGUAGUUGGAGAAAAGGCCCUCCGUGCAUUCAUGCCUUCAUUACUGCAUGCUAGGUUUCAUUCGCAAUCAACCCAGAAGAACUGCUCCACUGCGGUGGGUGAAGUCUCCCAAGAUGGGUUAUGGUGAACUGGAAAGAUGCAUGGAUUCUUCCAGCAAGAGCAGGGGCGAUGUAGACCUGAUUUGUCAGGAGCACCUAAGAUAUCUCUCGAGGGGCCCGAGACCGGGGCUUCUGUGGGGAGGUUAGUGCUAUAGUCAUUCCUAGGAAUCUGAGGAUUGGCUUCAGAAUCCUCAAGAAUACCCAAAUCCAUGGUUGCUUAAGUCUCUUAUAUAACAUGACAUGUCUUCACGUACAACUUAUAUCCUCCUGUGCGCUUUAAACUGUCUCAAGAUUACUUACAAUACUUAAUGCACGUGAAUACUAUGUAAAGAGUUUAUACUAUAUGGUUUAGAAAGUGGUGACUAAAGAUAAGGGCUGGGGUUAUAGCUCAAUGGUGCAGUGCUUGCCUACCGUAGCUUGUGCAAAAUCCUGGGUUCGAUCCCUAGCACAAAAGGAAGAAAGAUGAAAGAAGGAAGGAAGGAAGGAAGGAAGGAAGGAAGGAAGGAAGGAAGGAAGGAAGGAAGGAAGGGAAAAGAAGACAAAAACCUACAUGUGCAGUACAGACACAAUUUGUUUAAUGUUCUAGUCACAAUUGGUCGACUCUUUGAGUGGGGGUAACCAUAGAUACACAGGAUCAACUGUAUUCCAUCAGAGAUUCCCUUUCAAUUGGGCCCCUUGCUGUCAUGGCUGGGCCCAUAUAUUGACUACAUCUGAAAUGCAAUGCUCUAUUGCCUGACCAACACACCCCGGCAUGAGGAUAUAAACAUAUCUUCUCUGAGUCGGAUAAUAACUGUUGAACUUGGCCCCUUCAAGCCUCUGAGCAUUGAAAAAAAGUGAUAAUCCUUCCUCAACAUUUUGAUUAAAAAUAAAAGCAAUACUAAGU